rnacentral:rRNA from 1 species
UACGGAGGGUGCAAGCGUUAUCCGGAUUCACUGGGUUUAAAGGGUGCGUAGGAGGGCAGGUAAGUCAGUGGUGAAAUCUCCAAGCUUAACUUGGAAACUGCCGUUGAUACUAUCUGUCUUGAAUACCGUGGAGGUGAGCGGAAUAAGUCAUGUAGCGGUGAAAUGCAUAGAUAUGACUUAGAACACCAAUUGCGAAGGCAGCUUACUAAGCAGAUAUUGACGCUGAGGCACGAAAGCGUGGGGAUCAAACAGG